rnacentral:rRNA from 1 species
AUUGAACGCUGGCGGCAGGCCUAACACAUGCAAGUCGAACGAGUGGCGGACGGGUGAGUAAUGUCUGGGAAACUGCCUGAUGGAGGGGGAUAACUACUGGAAACGGUCGCUAAUACCGCAUACCAUCGGAUGUGCCCAAAUGGGAGUAGAUAGUAGGUGGGGUAACGGCUCACCUAGGCGACGAUCCCUAGCUGGUCUGAGAGGAUGACCAGCCACACGGGAACUGAGACACGGUCCAGACUCCUACGGGAGGCAGCAGUGGGGAAUAUUGCACAAUGGGCGCAAGCCUGAGGCAGCCAUGCCGCGUGGAUGAAGAAGGUCUUCGGAUUGUAAAGCACUUUAAGUUGGGAGGCGUUACCAACAGAAUAAGCACCGGCUAACUUCGUGCCAGCAGCCGCGGUAAUUC